rnacentral:rRNA from 1 species
UACGGAGGGUGCAAGCGUUAAUCGGAAUUACUGGGCGUAAAGCGCACGUAGGUGGUUUGGUAAGUCGGAUGUGAAAUCCCAGGGCUCAACUCUGGAACUGCGCCUGAAACUAUUUUACUAGAGACUAGGAGGGGCAAGCGGAAUUCCAGGUGUAGCGGUGAAAUGCGUAGAUAUCUGGAGGAACACCAAUGGCGAAGGCAGCUUGCUGGACUAGAUCUGACACUGAGGCAUGAAAGCGUGGGUAGCGAAAGGG